GCCGGGUGUGGUGGCUCACACCUGUAAUCCCACUACCUAGGAGGCUGAGGCGGGCGGAUCACUUGAGGUCAGGAGUUCGAGACCAGCCUGGCCAACAUGGUGAAACCCCGUCUCUA
rnacentral:SRP_RNA from 1 species